GGGUUAGUCUUUCUGCUUACCCAUUGUUCUAUCUUAGAUGGUCAAGAUUUCAAGGAAUUUGUGCUUUUUGAAAGUCUAGGUAUGCCAUAGUAGAAGAGUUAGCUAGUUUUGGAGCUAGAAUCCAUGUAUGUGAUAUAUCUGAAACUCUGCUUCAUCAAAGUUUAAGCGAAUGGGAAAAGAAAGGGUUUCAAGUGAGUGGUUCAAUCUGUGAUGUAACCUCUCGUCCCGAGAGAGAAACUUUGAUGCAAAAAGUCUCCUCACUGUUCGAUGGCAAACUCAACAUUCUUGUAAGUAGUAAAUGAUCUUUGCUAGAAACAACUAAGCAAAUUGUUUCAAAAAGAACAUCCUAUUUAUGUUCAACAUAGGUGAACAAUGUGGGCGUACUACACGGAAAGCCAACAACAGAAUAUGUGGCAGAAGAUUUCGCUUUGCACAUCUCAACAAACUUGGAGGCUUCUUACCAUUUUUGCCAGCUUUCACAUCCUCUCCUAAAGGCUUCAGGCUAUGGAAGCAUCGUCUUCAUGUCUUCUGUUGCAGGGAUUGUAUCAAUUGACUGUGGAUCUAUUUAUGGUCUUACCAAAGGUAACCACAGCUACUACUAGAUGCUGUUCAUUGCAAGGCAAGCUAAUAAACAAGGAUGUUUUGUUGAUCUCUUUAACAGGAGCUCUGAAUCAGCUAGCUAGAAAUUUGGCUUGUGAAUGGGCAAAAGACGGAAUAAGAGCCAACGCUGUUGCACCUAAUGUUGUCAAGACUCGACAGUCUCAAUCUGUAAUUAAAAGAAAUAGAAAAAAAGCUUUUACAGAUUUUUGUGUGAAUUUGGCAACUUUAAUUCCUCUAACCAUCUCUCAUUUUUUUUUGUUUCUUGAAGUUUCUUGAGGACGUCAGUUUCAAGGAAGGAUUGUUUGGUAGAACUCCACUUGGUCGCGCUGGAGAGCUAAAUGAAGUUGCAUCACUAGUGGUCUUCUUGUGUCUACCUGCUGCUUCUUACAUUACUGGUCAAACUAUUUGUGUUGAUGGAGGUCUCACUGUUAAUGGCUUCUCCUAUCAGCCACAUGCUUGAGUCAGAUCUUCUUUAUGUGUGGACAGACUCAUUAUUUUUUGUUUAUUUUCGGCCUUGUUAACAGUUGGGAAGAAGAAACUAUUUAUUUAGGUAAGACUAGAAUCAGAGGAAUAUGUGUUUGCAUAUUGUUUUGCUCUGUUUUGUGUUUUCUGAUGUAUUCCAAAUGGACCAAAUCCGAUGACUCUAAAACAUGUCCUACUAUUUCGGAUACUAGUCAACGGUUCUUGGUAGAAACAAUGACAAAAACACUGAGCACAAUAUCUGCGUUCUAUUUGAUAUUAUAGACGCACUUGCUCUUUAUUGUACUCUUGGUUGGCGGUAAAGAAAGUGAAAGAGGUAAUUUCCAAAAGUAAAAGUUUUAAGAGAAGUUUUACAGAAGAGACGAAGAAGACUAUGAGUUGGACAUUUGAAACACAUUCUAAAUACGUGUAACGUUUGCAUAAUUUGUACAUUAUUCUGCUUUCUAAUUUUAGUUGUCGCUUGUGAGCAGAGCCGACCCUGAGUUCUAAGUGGCCGCAAGCUAAAGAAAAAAAUGGGUCGUUUUAUAAUAUUUAAAAAAAAAAUAAAAAAAAAAUCAUAAUUUAUAAAUGUGUUAAACAAAAACUAUAAAAUAUUUUAAAACAAAAAAAAAACCGGGUACAUUAUUUUUGAAAUAUGAUUCUUCUUGCAUUUCUUCUUGCAAACUCAUUCAUCAAGCAUGUAUAGUCAAGUUUUUCAGCCAUUCUCCUUUCAAUCGACAAUAUCGACAAUUCAUUCAAUUUUUUUUGUGACAUAGCAGACUGUAGAUAAGACUUUAUUAGCUUUAGCUUUGAGAAACUUCUUUAUGCUAAGGUAACUGAAACUGGAAUCGUCAUCAUUGUACGGUAUGCAUUCCAUGUAUUUGAACAACGGUUUUCCAACUUUUUCAGAUAAUCCAGUAUCUCGACUACUUUCUUAAUCUCUUUUGGUAAAGCUCCUUUUAAAAGCUUUAGCUCCAAAAAUAAAUCAUUACCAUCAAUAUCAGAAUGAUUACCAUGUUUCACAGAAGCUUCCAGGUUAACACAAGAAGCCAUCAACUUUUCAUCAUUUGCUAACAUCAGCUUCUUCAAGUCAAAUAAAAAUCCAAGUCUUUUCAUAACUUUGAAGUUGAUCAAACUUUGGCUCAAGAGAAACCAAACCUUGAUCCACGAUUUUGAUGAAGUAGUUGAUCCUGAAAUUUUCUUCUGCUGCUAAUAUCACAUCUUCCCCAUUUUUCUCAGGCUCUUCAUCAUAAUGUCGUUUCCUUUUCCUAAGAUGUUUUGCUUUGACAGAGAAUACAGGUUCGACUUCCAUCUCAAUAGAAAUCCGUUCAGCUUCUACUUUUGCUGCAUCAAAACCCGUCUCUCUAUAGUUUUUUAAAAAAGCAACUAGACCUUCAAGUUGAGAAAGAGCAAUAUCAAAAUCCAUUCUUCUGACUGCAAGAUCUUGCUUACUUUGUUCACAACAAACAAAAGUUCAUACCAGAUAAUCAUUCCAAACAAAAACUCAAAACUCCCAAUUCCAUGGACUUCACUCAUUGCAAGAGACUCAGCUUCGCUUCUUGUUUUUGGAUUAUCACUGUUUUCUGCUAAAUGAAACAAAGCAUCUCAUAUCUGAGGAGUUUGAAAUUGUAUAGCUUUGACGCUUUUAAUGCGGCUCUCCCAACGAGUUUGUGAUAAUGGCUUAACUGUAAUACCAUUCACAAUAUCUCUGAAAACUUCUCAAUUUUUUGUAGAAGAGUCAAACAAACAAUAGAUGCGCUGAAUAAUUCCAAAAAAUGAUACUGCUAUCGUCGACGAGGAAGCGAUAUCUGUGAGUAAAAGAUUCAAACUAUGACAGCCACAUGAUAUGUAAACCGCCCUUGAAUUAAUUUCAAGCAACCUCUUUUGUAAUCCUUUAUUUUUUCCUUUCAUGUUUGACCCAUUAUCAUAACCUAGUCCUCGAAUGUCAUCAGUACUCAAUCCAAGAUUAAGGAGCACAUCCUGAAGGGUUUCAAAAAGUCCUUCUCCGGUUUUAUCUUUGACUUCUAAGAAUGACAAAAAAACUCUUGAAUCUUCGGUGAAGUGUCAGAUAUAUCCACACAUCGGAUAACUAGAGACAUCUGUUCCCGGUUACUACUAUCAGGAGUGGUAUCAAGAAUAAUCGAAAAAUACUUUGCACAUUGAAUCUUCUCCAAUAUCAUUUUUUUCACCUCCGUCCCAAGCAUCUCAAUCAACUCAUUCUGAAUUCUGUGACUAAGAUAAUGAUAAUGAAUUUCACGUUUAUCAAUUCGUCUAAAGUGUUCUAUGAUCACAGGAUUAAAAUCUGCAAAUACCUCCAUCAUACCCAAAAAAUUUCCAUUAUCAUCCUCACGAACCUUAUCGCUGCGUCCAUGAAAUGCUAUAUUCUUUUUAGCUAGACCCUUUACCAAUGCAAUUAUCCUCAACAAUACAUCUCUCCAAUGUUUUUUUUUCUUUGUUAAUCUCUUCUUGAAUAUGCUUAUCAAUAGUCUGACUUGUCUGUAAUCUCACUUCUAGAUCCAUUCACUAAGUCAUGCAAAUGACAUGCUUAUGGCUUUUUUCAUGUUCCUUAAGCGUUCGUGAAAUAUUUCUCCAAUAAUUGUAUCCAUUAGUAACCAGCUGAUAAGCAGUGUUGUCUUGCGGAAAUAACUUACAACAAAAACAAAAAAACUUUAUCUUUUAUUGUUGAGUAAAUUAACCAUCGCUUAUCUUGCUUUUCUCCCGUUUGUUAUUCUUUUUGUAUAAGACGAAUGAAAAAAACUUCUGCCAAUAGAAUCUCUUGGAAAAUGAUAAUCAACUGAAAGCCUUUCUAUUGGACCUUUAUCAACCAGAAAAUCUCUCAAUUUAUUAUCAACUCUUUCCCAAUUUCCAGGAUCAUUGAUAUCAUUAAAAUAUUUGUUAAAUAGUUAACUAAAUUAUUAAUAUUUUAAAUAGUUAAAUAAUCAAUAUGGUGGUAGGUGGGUCAAUUGACCCAUGUGAAAUCCAAUUUUUUUUAUAUAUUUAUACUUUUUUUUUAAAAAAUUAUGUAAAAUAUUAAUAAUUUAGUUAAAUGAUGCUCAGAAUACACUCUAAAUUAAUACUGCCACUGACCAUGAAUAAACAAGUAGAAAAGGUACACAUGAUUAGUAGAUGAGUCACACGAUGGUUAGAUACCACACAUUGCAAUUCGAAGAGCAACGAUUUUAUGGGUUGAUAGAUUGAUACUACACAAUUACCUAAAGCAAUUUUUUUUACUUUUUAAAACAAAGCUCUCCUAAUAUCGUAGAAUAGCAAGUAAACAACAAUAGAUUGAUCAAAAAAAGCAAUUUGGAUUACCAUGGCAAUAAACCAGUUACCCAGACUCUACAUAACAAUGGAGUUUCCAUUACUCUAAUCUAUUUAGUAUUUCGUCGACCUUUUUGAACACGACAACUGAGAAAAGUAUUUCGUCAACCUUUUUGAACACGACAACUGAGAAAAGUAUUUCGUCGACCUUUUUGACUUAGAUGUUUUAGUUAAUUUCUGACUUUUCUGUCUUACGACUGCAUAACAUUUUCCAACCACACAUACAAAAAUAAUUCAUAAAUUCGUAGCUAUCCGAUCCACAUUCAUUGUAUAUAAUAUGAUCUGUGGGAUCUGGUCAUUGCUACUCACAGGCAAACAAAAAAAAAAAAAUGGAUAAAAGAUGGAGUCUUCAAGGUAUGACUGCUCUUGUGACCGGUGGAGCUAGCGGAAUCGGGUUAGUCUUUCUGCUUUUACCCAUUGUUCUAUCUUAGAUGGUCAAGAUUUCAAGGAAUUUGUGUUUUUUGAAUGUCUAGAUAUGCCAUAGUAGAGGAGCUAGCCGGUUUUGGAGCUAGAAUCCAUGUAUGUGACAUCUCUGAAACGCUGCUGAAUCAAAGUUUAAGCGAAUGGGAUAAGAAAGGGUUUCAAGUGAGUGGCUCAGUCUGUGAUGUAACCUCUCGUCCCGAGAGAGAAACUUUGAUGGAAAAAGUCUCCUCGCUGUUCAAUGGCAAACUCAACAUUUUUGUAAGUACUAAAUGAUUUCUUGAUAUAGGAACAACUAUGUAUAUUCGUUUAAAGAAAACUUUGAAAACAUCCUCUUUGUGUUCAACAUAGGUGAAUAACGUAGGCGUACUUCGAGGAAAGCCAAUAACAGAAUUUGUGGCAGAAGAUUUCGCUUUCAACAUCUCAACAAACUUGGAACCUGCUUUCCAUUUUUGCCAGCUUUCACAUCCUCUCCUAAAGGCUUCAGGCUAUGGAAGCAUCAUCUUAAUGUCCUCUGUUUCAGGGAUUUUAUCAGUUGAGCAAGGAUCCAUUUAUGGUCUAGCCAAAGGUAACCACAGCUACUACUAGAUGCCGUUUAUUGCAAGGCAUGCUAAUCAACAAGGAGUUGUUUCUUUUUGAUUUUUUUUUGUUUUAAUGUUUUGUUGAUUUCUUUUACAGGAGCUCUGAAUCAGCUAGCUAGAAAUUUAGCAUGUGAAUGGGCAAAAGACGGCAUAAGAGCCAACGCUGUUGCAC
rnacentral:lncRNA from 1 species